rnacentral:rRNA from 1 species
UCGAGAAUUUUUGGCAAUGGGCGAAAGCCUGACCAAGCGAUGCCGCGUGCGGGAUGAAGGCCUUCGGGUUGUAAACCGCUGUCAGUAGGGAGAAAAGGGUAGUGAGUUAUCUCAUUAUUUUGAUCUAUCUGCAGAGGAAGUGUGGGCUAAGCUCGUGCCAGCAGCCGCGGUAAGACGAGCCACACAAACGUUAUUCGGAAUUACUGGGCUUAAAGGGUGCGUAGGCGGUGCGGAAAGUUGGGUGUGAAAUACCUCGGCUCAACCGAGGAACUGCGCCCAAAACUACCGCACUCGAGGAAGAUAGAGGUAAGCGGAACUUACGGUGGAGCGGUGAAAUGCGUUGAUAUCGUAAGGAACACCCGUGGCGAAAGCGGCUUACUGGGUCUUUUCUGACGCUGAUGCACGAAAGCUAGGGGAGCAAACGGGAUUAGAUACCCCGGUAGUCC